GACGAACGCUGGCGGCGUGCUUAACACAUGCAAGUCGAACGGAAAGGCCCUGCUUUUGUGGGGUGCUCGAGUGGCGAACGGGUGAGUAACACGUGAGUAACCUGCCCUUGACUUUGGGAUAACUUCAGGAAACUGGGGCUAAUACCGGAUAGGAGCUCCUGCUGCAUGGUGGGGGUUGGAAAGUUUCGUCGGUUGGGGAUGGACUCGCGGCUUAUCAGCUUGUUGGUGGGGUAGUGGCUUACCAAGGCUUUGACGGGUAGCCGGCCUGAGAGGGUGACCGGCCACAUUGGGACUGAGAUACGGACCAGACUCCUACGGAAGACAGCAGUGGGGAAUAUUGCACAAUGGGCGGAAGCCUGAUGCAGCAACGACGCGUGCGGGAUGACGGCCUUCGGGGUGUAAACCGCUUUCGCCUGUGACGAAGCGUGAGUGACGGUAAUGGGUAAAGAAGCACCGGCUAACUACGUG
rnacentral:rRNA from 1 species